rnacentral:rRNA from 1 species
AUUGAACGCUGGCGGCAGGCCUAACACAUGCAAGUCGAGCGGAUGAGAAGAGCUUGCUCUUCGAGUUAGCGGCGGACGGGUGAGUAAUGCCUAGGAAUCUGCCUGGUAGUGGGGGACAACGUUUCGAAAGGAACGCUAAUACCGCAUACGUCCUACGGGAGAAAGCAGGGGACCUUCGGGCCUUGCGCUAUCAGAUGAGCCUAGGUCGGAUUAGCUAGUUGGUGAGGUAAUGGCUCACCAAGGCGACGAUCCGUAACUGGUCUGAGAGGAUGAUCAGUCACACUGGAACUGAGACACGGUCCAGACUCCUACGGGAGGCAGCAGUGGGGAAUAUUGGACAAUGGGCGAAAGCCUGAUCCAGCCAUGCCGCGUGUGUGAAGAAGGUCUUCGGAUUGUAAAGCACUUUAAGUUGGGAGGAAGGGCAGCAAGCGAAUACCUUGCUGUUUUGACGUUACCAACAGAAUAAGCACCGGCUAACUCUGUGCCAGCAGCCGCUGUAAAAC